GAGGUUCACGAAGCUCCGGUAGGCCCGGCAGCCCUCCUCCCUGACCCGGAUCCGGUACGCGGUGGUCGACCCGCCGGCCCGGAAGGCGCAGCACUGGGUGCCGCGGCAGGGGCUGGCCGUGGCGUUGCUGUAGACGUGGCAGAGGCUGGUGGAGGUGCAGUUGAGGGGCGAAUUGAGGAUCGAGUUGGAGCAAUUGAGGUAGAAGAUGGUGUUGCUGCUCGUGAUGUUGAAGGGGGCGGAGGGGCUGAGCUGGAGCCCGUUGGAUGGGAGAUCCGCGGCGAGGCAGGUCCCGGGCGGAACGACGGUGGGGCGAUGGUGAGGCGCUGCGUGGAGGGGGAGAUCGAGGUGAUGGAGUAGGUGUUGUUGGAGGAGUCGAAGAGGAGGGCGCCGGCGCCGGAGCAGCGGAUUUUGUAGGCGGAGUCGCCGCAGGUGGGGGCGGUGCUGAGGGGGUAGGGGACCUGGGUGGAGCCGCAGGGCGGGCAGGGGGGGAGGGAGACGACGGCGCAGGAUAGCAGCGCCGCCGCGGCGAGGAGGAGGUGGAGGUGGAGGUGAUGAGCGGCGGCCAUGGCGGUGGUUAUUGAGUUUAGAAUUUGUUGGGAAAUUUGAUGUGUU
rnacentral:lncRNA from 1 species